rnacentral:lncRNA from 1 species
GAGCCUCCCCUUUAGGCCGGAUUCGCAAAUGUGUGUUCUCGGGUUAUGGAUUUAACAUAGUCUAAAUAGAUUCGGCAAGAGAUUGCGCGGCAUAAGACUCUCUCGACCUCUUUUGCCCAUACUGAAAUUCCAGGACAUUCAUGAAUCUACUCGAGCUCUUUGGCAGUAUUAAGAUCCCCUACCCACCUUUCAUGUAAAAAGAAAAAGGCGACUCGCCAAUGUCAAUCUUAUGGUUCUAAGGGCAAGUACCUCCUACUAAACUCAGUAUUAAGAUCGCCUACCCACCUUUCAUGUAAAAAGAAAAAGG